GAUGAACGCUGGCGGCGUGCCUAAUACAUGCAAGUCGAGCGAACAGACGAGGAGCUUGCUCCUUCGACGUUAGCGGCGGACGGCUGAGUAACACGUAGGUAACCUACCUAUAAGACUGGGAUAACUUCGGGAAACCGGAGCUAAUACCGGAUAAUAUUUCGAACCGCAUGGUUCGAUAGUGAAAGAUGGCUUUGCUAUCACUUAUAGAUGGACCUGCGCCGUAUUAGCUAGUUGGUAAGGUAACGGCUUACCAAGGCAACGAUACGUAGCCGACCUGAGAGGGUGAUCGGCCACACUGGAACUGAGACACGGUCCAGACUCCUACGGGAGGCAGCAGUAGGGAAUCUUCCGCAAUGGGCGAAAGCCUGACGGAGCAACGCCGCGUGAGUGAUGAAGGUCUUCGGAUCGUAAAACUCUGUUAUUAGGGAAGAACAAACGUGUAAGUAACUGUGCACGUCUUGACGGUACCUAAUCAGAAAGCCACGGCUAACUACGUG
rnacentral:rRNA from 1 species